rnacentral:rRNA from 1 species
GACGAACGCUGGCGGCGUGCCUAACACAUGCAAGUCGUGCGGUCUCGCCUUAAGCGAAAGGCCUUCGGGCUUUGAAGCAAAGGCGAGAUAGCGGCGGACGGGUGAGUAACGCGUGGCUUAUCUGUCCCAGGGAGGGGGAUAACGUCUGGAAACGGGCGCUAAUACCCCAUAUGCCGAAAGGUAAAAAGGAGAGAUCCGCCCUGGGGUGAGGCCGCGUCCUAUCAGCUCGUUGGUGAGGUAACGGCCCACCAAGGCUAUGACGGGUAGCCGGCCUGAGAGGGCGGCUGGCCACACUGGGAUUGAGAUACGGCCCAGACUCCUACGGGAGGCAGCAGUGGGGAAUAUUGGGCAAUGGGGGAAACCCUGACCCAGCGACGCCGCGUGGAGGAAGGAGCCCUUCGGGGUGUAAACUCCUGUUGUAAGGGAAGAAGACAGUGACGGUACCUUACGAAGGAAGCCCGGCAAACACGUG